CUGCUGUUGGAUCCAAGGAAAAUCCUCGAUUAUAUUGAUCUCUGGCACAAGGAUCCAAACACCCCCAUGCCUGAUUUUCAUCUGACUGCCGGUCAAAGUCACAUGCUGACCCAUUUCAUCACUAAAGAGAAAUGGAAGUUUGAAAAGACAAGAGAGAUUAAGAAAGCUCAAUACAGAAAGGAGAAGCUCCUGAAGAAAAACGUUGUCAGAAUGACACCUGAGGAACUUCUCCAGGCUCAGUCUGAAAUCCAAGCCCUCAACAAGGAUUUUGAUGCCUACUAUGCUGAUUGGCAAGGAGCCAAAGUCAGAUUCAUCAACCUGACGAAGAAAUUCACCAAUGUUGUUGCUCCAACGCAACAUGAAAUUCCUCAGGCUGAAGUCUCAGCUCAGCCGACUGAAGAACAUGCCAGCACCGCUGAUGAAAUUCAGGCUGCUGAUGAAAAUGCCAGUUCCAGGGCUGAUGAUCCUAUUCUAGCCGCUGAAGAAAUUGCCAGGGCAUCCACUAGUGGUGCGCCUGAAGAAACUGAAGAAGUCAGGGCAACUGCAUUAGUUGCGCCUGAAGAAAAUCAACCAGAUUCCUCA
rnacentral:rRNA from 1 species